rnacentral:misc_RNA from 1 species
CAUGAGUUGUCUUGGACCCGUGACUGCUUGGAGGACCCCCGGCCUCCGUGCGGCCGACUCCCGGCGCCCGUGUCCCAUCGCUCGUGCGGGCAUCCCGUGCCUGCUGCGUUGAGAAGUGCUUGCGUGCUGCUACCCGUCCCACGGGAAGCCGUGCUCGAUACACGUUGCCUUCGUCGAGCUCACCCCCCGGGGUGCGGCUCGUCGGCUCGAGAGCGCCCGCGGCGUUUGCCUCGUGCCGCUGUCGGCCUAUGGCCGGCGGCACCGAGGAACACCUCGCUGGCGCUUUUGGUCUCGGAUGCUGGCUCACGCUGAAGGCCGGAGACGCGUUGGCGUCACGCGCCCAAGAAUCGGUCCGCCCGAAUGAACGACGGCCAGCCCGGCACGACGCCUCCGCGCGGAGGCCGGCGCUGGCCCGUCUGCGAGGACGUGCU